GAAGUGUGUCUUUGUGUUAAUCCUGGGUCACUCUAUUAGUGUGCUUUUUCAUCCUGUGCAACUUGGGAGUCAUUUAUUAACACCAUCUUCUAAAUCACUUUUUUUUUUUGCAACAUACCCUUAACACUAUCAUCUGAUAUUCUUCCCAAGGACUAAAUCUCCAGAUCUGAGAUGGAGAGUUUGAAGGAAGUGCCAAGUGUUCUGUCCUCUUGCCUGCGUCACACAACCUGCCAUUAAUCUGCUUCCCACUGGCUCUGGGCUCUUACUUGUUUCUCCAGGGCAAUUUUUAUGACCCUACAUUUUUCUGACCUCAUUAUUCCUCUGAUGUACACAUUACUCUCUCUUUUAUUCCUAAUUCUUUGGAGAUAAAAAUCUCUCCAGUCAUUUAUCUUUCCCUCAUGGAGACUUUAGGAUUGAUUGCAUCCCACCUCAGGUCUCUGGCUGCCCCGUCACAUUUCUAACACACCAAGUCACCACUUCUUUCCUAGAAAGCCCGCUGUUGACCUUCUUUGCCAACUUUGAUUACUUACUUUCUGUUCAGUAUUUUGUCCUAUACAUUUUGUGAUGGGCUGUAAUUUAUUAAAACCUCAUUACCAAAUUUUACUUAUGAAAAUAACAUCCUAAAAUAUAUUUUAGUAAGUAGUUAAAAAUGUUUGAAUAAAUUAUGUUUUCUCAGAGAUACCCUGAGAAAGAUAGAUGGAUGGACGGUGCUCCUGAUUGUCUCCUUUUCACAGUGUGCAAAACAUUCAGGUGGAGAAAAGCCCAGCUGUAAAAUCAAGGUUUCCAGACCAGGCUAUUUCUAUUUAUAGCACUGAAAAUGGGACAUGAUACUAGCUAUUUCAGAAAAGCCAUUCCAAGAUGUUCACCAAGUUAUACAAAUAUAGACUGAUAUUUUCUCAAUAAGGACAGAUGAAUUCAAGGACAAAUAUAUAUGAGAUCUUACUUAAAGCAGAAAAUGUCAACCAUGGAAGAAGGAGAGCUGAUUAUCAUGCCUUUGCCAGGAACAGUAGCUAUGAAUCACAGAACCUAUUAACUUGAACUCUCACAACCUCCUUGUCAACUUCCCAGGCUAUGAAGAAAUCCUCUUCUAACAUGACUUGCACUUAGCAAUGCUCCCAGUCCCUGUUCUGUUACUGCUGCUGCUGAAAACCAAGCAAACACUGGUCCUGUCUUGGUGACUCUAAUUGUUCUAAUGUACAAGUGAAGAAGGAACCACUUUCUUGUAAUUUGCCAUCUUGUGGAUUGAGUUCAAUGUUUUAUUGAAAUCAUUUUGGAAGUAACACCUAUGCCCCAUUGUAGACCUUCACACUUUAAACAUAAUGUCUUUAUAGUGGGUAAAGUGGCUCAGUGCAUAAUGUGCUUGCUGUGUAAGUAUGAGAGCUGGAGUUUAGAAUGCUGGCACUUAUAUAAAAACCCAGGCAGGUGUAUGAGCCACCUGUGUUCUCAGCAGUCAGAGGUGGAAACGAAUUCAUUCCCAGACAAGCCUAGUGGCAAGACUGAGAAUAAGCAAGUUCUGGGUUAAGAAGGAGACCCUGGCAUAAUUCAUAAAGUACAGAAUGAUCUAGAAGUCAUCCUGUAUCAACCAUCAGCCUCAGUGUGUAUAUACACAACAACACAGGUGUGAGAAUGUGCAUAAACACACACUUGCAUGCACACCACAAACAUAAGUAAAAUGUUUCAUAUUGCACAUGUCUUAUCUGGCUACACAAUCUUGCUAUCCUCUAUUCUCGGCAUACUCUCUUCUUUGUAAACUGCCCGUCCUUAUUCAAAAGUGCUGACAAAUAUAGAUGAACUUCACCUGUAAAAUAAGUAUUAUCUAGAAAUAAAUUGAAAAACAUAAACUUUCCAAGCUUGCUCUUUAAUAGAGAUUUUACAGCUAAUUUGUAAGUCCCUAUGAUAUUGGAGUUCUUCAUUAUCCUUUCAUGAGACUGCUUGUGUAGUCAGCUACAUAGGACAGAAAAUCUGUAGCUGCAUAGAAACAGCGCGGGAUCUUCUGAGUUAUUCUCAAAUGUCAUCAAUUGCAAAGGGCUCUAUUUCUUUCAGUUAUGAUUACAAGGAGACUAUUGCUCCACAGCGGAGCCCCCCCUAGAGGGUAAUGGCACGUGUUUUUUAUCAGUGCAAAGGCUGUUGUAGGCUGCCAAACAUAUUAGAACAGUAAACCAUCGAGGAAAAGACAUUUUCUUUGACCCCGUUUACUUAAGUGAUUUAUCUAAACUUCAGACUUUAGUGUCUGAAAUUACUCCUGAUAUUGAAUCUGUUUUUUUUUUUUUUUUUAAUUUGUUUCAAGUCCCAUGGAGCUCAUUUAAGUUCAGGGUACCCAUUGACCUACAGGCUUAGGUACAGUGGUGAUCUCAGUACAGGUGUAAGACUGUGGAGAGUGGAGGGAAAAAUGGAACGAGCCACAGUGAAAACAAAGACAUUGGGCUAGAAAUUGAGACUUUUGUUUUGAAAGGUGAAACAUCCAGUACCAAGGUGGUUUUGAUAAGGAUUACUGCUUUUGUUUUGUUUGUUUUUGUUUUGUUUUGUUUUGUAUUUAUUAACCAUGGAAUCAUGAAAUCCGGCCACUACUGUCUGAAAGCUCUGAAGCUCUGUUCUUUUUUAAAAUUUUGUUUUGUUUGUUUCAUAAUUAAUAUUCUUAUUUGUAUUUAUAUGUAUAUAUAUAUAUAUAUAUAUAUAUAUUAGUAUUUCUCUUUUUAGUUUUCCUUUUAGAGGGAUGCUACAAGGGUGAAGGGCAGAUACGGAGAUAAUAGGAAAUGAGUGAGAUUGGGGUGCAUGAUGUGAAAUUUCCAAAGAAUCAGUUAAAAAAAGUUAUGUUAAAAAAAUAAAGUCCUGGGUGGGGUUGUUAAGUUUUCAUAUGCUGAGGUUAAAAAAUGGAGUUUACUGCUAUUUGGGUAAAAAGACAUUUGAUGUAGAUGAAUCCUAUUGCCUUUUCUCCUGCCUUGACCCCUAUCCUUCACAUUGCCUGGGCAGAGGAGCCAGUAGAUACUAUAAGUCUAAAUAGUUAAAGCUCCAAGUCAGUUAUACAUGAUCUGAUUACAUAAGAUUUGGCUCCUGUCUUACCAAGCACCGAUUUACACUGAGUAGGAUGGCCAGGGGAAAUGUAGGGAUUUGUGAAACCUUAGGUUUGAUUCUGAGGGUAACUAGACCCCUACUUCUCACCCAUAGCCUAUUCUUUUUCUUCUCUUAGCUUUACAGCAUUCAGUGCAUGAAGAGACUUUCGUGCACUUUGUGCGCAUGUCUUGCUGCAUGACAAAUCUCCAGAAAUAACUGAACACCUGCAAAAAAAAAAUGUUCCUGUUAGUCUUUCUUGGCCUGGGGGCAUGCUUAUGAGCACUGUGAUUCCCCACAGGAGGAUGCACUUUAAAAAUCACCUUGGAAAUAAUAUCAGGGCUAUUUGAUCCAGCAAUUUGGGAGAGCCAGCACCCAGAAAAUAGUAUAGAGAGAGGAAGAUGGACUUUAGAUAAGGUUCCUCAUAGGACUCUUUGAGGGGGUUGGGAAAGAGGAAGAACAGUGAUGAAUUUAGGGUAAGAGCCCAUGUCUUAGUCAGGUGCUAUGAGAUUCUUUGUAAUACAUUUUUCCCAGAAUAUGAAAUUGUUUCUAGGAAUUGUAUAAAUAUGUGUGAUGAAGACAAGAGAUGGCAUUGUAGUUUCUGAAAAGGAAAAUGUAUUAUUCAUAGAACUGAAAGAGAAUAUUAGAGACAAGAUUAAUGGAAAAGUCUUCAAAUAGCCUCAAACAAAUGAUACCCAACUGAGGUUAUGGAUAUACCAUUGACUGUGAUUUGAUCAUUAUUUAAUGUAUACAUGUAUUGCAAUAUCACAUUCUACCCACAAAUGUAUACAACCACUAGAUUUCAAUUAGACAUAAAAAUUAUUCUUUUAAAAGCAUUUGGAUAGAGAUGGAACAAGCCUGUUCUUUCUUCUUCUUCCUGAGCAACAUUUCCUGUUAAUGAAGAGAAACGUGGCCAUACGAAAACCUAUCAUUGUAAAAACUAGUAAUGAAGCUCAGAAUUGCCAUGUCCUUGUCAGGCAUCAUUUUUCUGGCCGCUGAGGUCAUAGGACAAGGCUGUGAGGCUGGCUGAAAGCAGGUGGCUAUAAUUAAUUCUUCUGGUAAAUAUUAACAUUUUCAUCUCUCUGAGCAGGAGGGUUAAGGAGAGCGUUUCUCCAUUCUUUCAUUGGCCCUUAAAAAUGGCUCUGGCAUCCUGUUACCAGAUGCCAGCAGAUGCCAGUGUGCUGCAGGGUUCCAGUAUCAUUGCUGUGGGUGUCCUCAGUAGGAAUUGGUAGUGUAUGGCACCAGUGCCCCACUGCUGCUCCUGUUUUACAGAAUGCAAUCAUCUCUGUCACCUUCAACAUGGACCUGUCAGACUGACAUGGAAUGCUUUUCAUAUUUGAAAAUAAAUUCUCUUUAAAGUCUCAAUAGUUAGUUUAAAAAUUGGCUCAAUUAAGCGUAAGAUGAUGGUUCUGUGUGCCUGGGAAGCAGAAAGCAAGUGUAGAUUCUAAAUUUUCAGUUUUGGCAAACAGAGUGCUGAAUGUGGCAGAGUUUCAAAAUGUUUAUUGGAAAUAAAAUAUGAACUGAACUGAAAACUAUCCUUUCUGGAAAGCAUUCAUAAAAAUUUGACUUUGGUUGUGUAUUUGCACCUAAAAUAUGUAUUUGUACACUUUCUCUAUAAACCGUUUUUAAUUGUAGUUAAAGAAUUACUCUUGAACUAGUGAGUUUUAAACAAAAAGAAAGUUUAAAGGUGGUGCCUUAAGUUGUCAACAUUCCUGCUGUGUUUCCAUACCAUCUCUGAGAGUAUUAAUAAAAUUAGAAAAGUAUCACUUGCAUGUUAUUCAUUAAAUGUUCAUAAAACAGGCCCAGAAUCACCUUUCCCUUCUCUUGUUGAGAUAGACUAUCACUAUGUAGCUAAGGCUGGCCUCAAAUCCAUCCUCCUGCCUCAACCUCCUUGCUGAGAUUUCAAGCAUGUUCCACCAAUCCAAACUAAACAAACCUAUAAAUAAAACCUACAUGAAAACAUCCUCUAUGGAAGUCCCAGGGGUUUAGGGUUUAGCUAUGUCCAGCAUGGGAUAUCUGAGGGGAAAAAUAAAUCUGCGUACACUAUGCUCUUAUGUCUGUUAACUUUAUUCCUCUAGGACAAAAUUUUAUCAAUUCAGCUAUAGCUCCACCAGACAUUCAAGGCAGGAGUAACUCUAGACAUACCAAGCUCUAUAUCCAUCUACUUUAUUUCUCUGGGAUGAAAUCCUGUCUCCAUAACUACAGUUCCAUCCAGCUCAUAGUCUUGCUAUCGACUAAACUCCAAUGCUUUCAGCCUCACCUCUGUAUCCUCUUUCUCCAUCUCUGCUACGCUCUACUCCUGGCACUCAGAAAACUCUACCCCAAAUCUGCUUGCCCUCUAUGGAACCUCUGUCAUCCUCUCUUCUCUCUUGCCAUGCCAUUCUGUUUCUACAGAAAAAUGCCUGCCCUUUCUUUCCCUGGGCACAUGGUUCUCUGCCUCCUCAGGAAUGUUGUUCUACCUUCCACCUUGAUAUGUAAAAACCUCUUUUGUUCUCAGUCAAUUGCUCUGAUGAGCAGCUAGGCCUCAAGGCGAGGAGAUGGUCUGAGCUUCAUUUGCACAAGAAGCAAAGCUAUGUCUCCAGCCAGCUUGUCUCCUAGGCUCAGUAGGGGGGCAGGAGGGAGAAUAGUAACCUAGAAGUUCAGCAAGUCUGGAAAUAUUUGGCCACGCAGGAAUUUCAUAGUAGAAGACAGCUGGAAUAUUAAAGGCUGGAUAACACCAAAUAUUCAUAAUAAAUGGCUUGCCUUUUGACAGACCCUUGGCCAGCCAAAGUAUAGCUUUAAUACACAACUGAAUCUCUAUAAUAUAUUCUUGCGGCCCGCAAGAAUCCUCUAAAUAAAUAUGAUAGAGCUAUCUUCAGUCAAUAAUGAGUAACAUUGUAUGAUAUUGAGGUCACUUCACUCUAUCUAGGCUUCCUUUUCCUCAUUUAUAAAUGUGGAAAACAAUAUUGUCUCAUUGGUUUGGCAUGAGCAUUUAAUCAGAUAUGUGACAAAUAUAUAUGUAUAUAUAUAUAUGCAUACGUACAUAUCUAUGUGUAUACACACACACACACACACACACACACACACACACACACACACACACACAUACACUCACUUCACAAUGACUUUUGAAACACACAGCUAGGAACUGAAAGUCCCCUGCUUCUGAUCCUAAGUUUUCAUUGGCAAACAUGGGAAAGUUGAGACAGAUGAUGUCAUUUUUUUUUCUGGUAUUUCUGUAACCUUGUUUUCAUUUUCAAAAUGGGGGGAUGCUAAAAAAUAUUCAUGAGUUCAUAGUUGGUAAUUUUGUUAUUAGUUAUUUCAUUAAAACAGUAUUAGAAUUCAAGGACAGUGUUUGGAACAUAGAAGGAAUUUAGAGAGCACAGAUUCAGAGUGUUUCCCAAGACCAUGUGUGUGCUAGUCUUAGUCCUCUUAGGACGUCAGCCAUUUAUUGUUUUUUUGGUUUUCCUGCUUACAUGAUACCCUAUCAUAUGCAUCAUGCCAUGAUGCAUGGCCUCAGAAACAGCCCAGAGGCAGUGGUGCCAGCCACCUAUGCACUAGACUGUCUGUAACUGUGUGCUAACAUAAAAUUUUACUCCUUUGGAUUGACUCAAGUAUUUUGUUAUAAUAACAGAAAUCAGAAUAACACUAGUGAUAUACUUAAUACAGUGUUGUUCAAGGAUAGCAAAAGUUGCUUAGAAUUUUAUAAAAUACUAUGUUAGAUUUCACUUGUAUCUUGAUGAUCAUAAUAUUUGAAUCCAUGAGUAUUGAAUUUUUCGUUAAUCUAAUUUUUUCUUAUAACUAAGUCCAUUCUUUUCAGGGUGUGGGGGUACUUGGUAAAGCUAAGACAUACCUCAAUUGGAUAAAGCUAAGUCAUUUUAAAAAGAUUUUGUACUAGUAAGGAAUACUGUUCACUACUCCUUUCCUCAUUUCUUAACUUGUUUGUUUGUUUGUUUUUGUUUUUGUUACAAAGUCUCAGGAUGUUUAGAGUAGAAUAACAGUGCUGUGGUAAUGCGAGGGUUUACAUUUUAGCAUUUUGAGGUAUUCUAACCUUAUUUGGGGUCCAUCCUUAUGCUUCAUGCUUUAUCCCUACAGCUAACCUGGUAUCUAAUGAACUCUAAAAGACUGAGGGCCAAUGAAUUAAGUGCUAACUUAAUACAUACUUAGCAAGCAAUACACAACCAUGUUGGCAACACUUAACAUCUGCCUGGAAAAAUUUUCAAGUUAUUCAUUGAGAAAAUUUUUCUGUGACCCCAUACAGGUAAGAGGGUCUGGUAAAGCAGCACAGCUGACUUGUGCCUGCGUUAACCACGCCUUUCCCGAAGUGACAGAGAACGAUUGUACCAGGUGUGUCUACACAGGACUCAGGGCUCUGUGAGAAUGUGUUCUCACUCACAAGCACUAUCCAUAUUUGGAAGGGCUGAACACGUUGUAUUCAUUUGUGAGGAAUAAUACAAAUAAUCCCUACUUGUGUAUAAUUAAUAUCCUCGGCAUUUGAUCUAGAGAUACAGGAUUUAAGGAAGGGGUAUGAAGUAGGUCAAAUAUAUUCACCACUGCUCCUGUGUGCAUCCAUAGCCGAUUCAAGGACUGGCCCCUCCCAUCAGUAAACAUGACUACUGUAAUGGAGGCAGGCACAUAGGAUGGUUUCAUCUGUGUCUGCAUAGUUGCUCAUAGAAUGUGCACUCGCGUACUGCAGUGACUAUGUCAUUUUUGCAAAAUCAUUUUAUCUGAGAUUAUGCAAUUACUUGAAUCCAGAAAAACAAGCAUGUUUAAAAUCACUAGGAAUUAAGACACAUAUCCUGACAAGGAAAAAAGAGCAGCUGGAAACUCAUCCUAGAAUGCGAUUUUAAUCACGGAGUUUUCAUUUAGGGAAGUAUGUAAUAAAGCCACGAGGCAAAGAUUUUAUUCUGCUGCUGCCUUGCCACAGGCCCAAAGACACACAUCUAUCUACCCGUCCCUUGAGUGUACGUUAACUGUCAGCUCUAAAUGACUUGCCUUAGCAGAUAACUUUUAUAACUGCAAAGUCAGCACUGUGGUCUUGUUCAUAAAAAUAAAUUAGAAUGAUUCUUCUUCAAAGUGUGAUUGGCUUUCUUGUUCUGAAGUGUGAAUUUUCCUAAGCACACAUCCAUUGAAUGUGCAUGUGAGUCUUUGUUUUCUGUAUGCUCACAACUGAGUCUUCAAACAUGGCUUUACUAAAUCAGGCAUACUCUACACUUUAGGAAAAUCGGUGCCCUGUGUUUCUUCAGUUUGUCCAUUUUUUGAUAGCCUUCUUCCUAUUUCUCUUACAUCUAUUUGUUUAUUGAAUAGAAGCAUAGCUUUGGAAAAAAGGAAAUAAUGGAGAGAAAUAGGUUAUAAUGAGAUUGACAAAUACUAAUUCAUAGUUCCUAUUCUUCCUGAUAUGUUCACUACACACAUAUUUUCCUAUUUUUCCUUAUUGAUAGAAUAAAUAGUAUUGAAACACUUUUAUAAGUUUUGAAUGCACAAAAAAAGGAAUGCUAAUGAAAACGCAUACUGUAUUAUUAGGUUAACAGAUGUGCAGUGUCAACACCCGUAUAUAGAAGUGGAAGUUUGAUGAGGAAUCUUUGCCUGGUUGAUUUUCAGAUACAUGCUUAAUAUUGUGGCAACUUUCAUCCUGAGAUGCGUUAGAACUUACUAGAGCACAAAAGAAGCAUACCUUUGGCACAUGUUAAGGUAUUUAUAGAAAUUUCUAAAUCUUACACCACAUUGUAACUAACCAAUUACUCAAAAGAUACAAGGGGAGGAUCCAUUGUACAAAGAGGAAUCUUCUAGAAGCAUCCAUUUGUAUUAUAGCUUUUGUGUUCUAUGUCUUGGAUGCGUAUUUCCAAUAGUAUAGUAACUAAACUUAAUCUCUACACAGCCAUAGGCGACUCUCUGUACUUUUGGGUCAGUUAUGCAUCUGAUCCUGCCACCUGCUGUGAUGUAAACCCAGACCCAAGCCUCCUGCCCGCACAGCAAUGAUAAAUUCUAGCGAAUAGGAGGAGAGGACAGACUCAUGGGUUCCUGACAGGGUAGUAAAAAACAGAAAGAUAGAAAGCAGAUUGUGUGUGUAUGUAUGUUAAACAAUAAUAAUUUUAAAAGAAGCCAUAAACCUGUAGGGGCCACACACCAGAGGAAUGGCAAGGGCAUAUUUAGCCCCCAAAUGAUAUAUAGUACUAAUAUAUGAGGUUCUCAAGAAAAUGAAAAGAAUAAUAUUAAAACUGUAUAAGUUCUUCCAUUUAACUUUAUGUAUAACAUUAUUCAAUAGAAAUUUGAAAAUUUAUAUUAAUUUUUUUCUGAGUACAGUUAAAAAAUAAGUAAUUGAACCUUACAAUGUUGACUAUUUUAGGUUUCUUAGAAAAAGCUGACAUGGAUGCUGAGGCAGAACCAAUUAGAAAAUAUUCAUUAAGAUGUGUUUUUUAUUAAAAUACAUGUUGUCGUCUAUGGGUCCUGUUUUUGUCUAUGUUGUUUUAUGGUGUUUUUUCACUUGUUGUAGUUUGCUUAAAAUACUUUGUCCUUUGAGUCAACAAAAAAGUUCAGGAAAGAAAAAAAAAUAGCAACUCUGAUAUUUUUUAACCAUUUCAGUGAGGGAACAGGAAGCUCAAAGAUGAACUUGAUAACUGUUUAUUGAUAGUAAACAAAGUCUCAGUUUCUAAGGAUGCUACAAGGGGCUUCUGUUAGUGUGGAAGGAAUUGGAAUUUAGGAGAAUGACUUUCUGUCCAUAUGCAUUAAUCAUUGAUGGAAAACAGAAGCGCAGAGGACUCAGUCACAACCUGCAGUGUUCAAUUACAUUUGGUUGCUUUAUGUCAGGGUAUCAUAGGCCAUAGUGACAUUGGCAGAUUUGAGAUUUGUUUUAGGACAUGCUUCUCAAAAAUGUCAUGAGCCAUAGAACACUAGAAGGUCACACCCUUCUUUUCAGCCAUGAAAAUCUAGACCUGAAGAGAAAGAAUGAAGGAACAAAGGGGUGGAAACUGAACACAAACCAAAUCAGCUCUGGGAAGUGCUCUGCCUUAUCCUCAGAAAAACCUUGCUAGGCUCUCAUGCAUAUUAUCUGCUUAGAGUCAAUACUGCUUAAUCAUUAAAUAGCAACUUUAAAUACAUAGCCUUACCCCUAGUGAUAAGUAAUGGUUAGGUUAAAGUUUUUUUUUUUUUUUUUUUUUACAACUGGAGUAUUAUAGUUCUGUUUAGGCUUUUUGGGAAAGAAAAUAUUUGAAUCCCCAUAGCCCAUGGUGAAGUAAUUUUUCUGUAUCAAGGCUGUGCAUUAUGGCCAUGCCUAGUUUGCUGUUAUGGUCCUUAUGUCCCUUUUUAAAAGCAGCACAAUUUCCAAAAUUCAAGUAGUGACACACACAUGAAGGAGUCUUAUGUAUUCAAGAGACUAGAUACAAACAAAAUUUAAAAGCUCAUGGAUGGAAAUGUGUGAGAACAAUUAUAUCUUCCUUCAAUAGGGAGACAUAAGCAUCAAAAUAAAGAUCUGGGAGAAGUUCAAAUUUGAUUAUCUAAAAAUUGAAAUUACUUUAUAAAAUAAAAUAUAAUAAAUGACAGCCUGAUAUAAGAUAUUCUCCUUUAUGUUCUAAUUAUCAAAGCAUUGUGUAAAUAUAUAUGUAUAUAUGAACUUUGGCUUUGUAUACAAACAUGAGUACUCUUCAUAUGCAUGCAUACCAUACCAAAAGCACUGUAAAAAGUAUAAUUUUAAAGUUAUUAAAUAAUAAAGAGUUAAUUGUUGGUAAUGGAAAAAUAGAAUAAAAUCUAUGUUGUCUAA